rnacentral:lncRNA from 1 species
UCACUCUCCUUGGCCCCAUGCCUGGGGCACCCUCAUAGACUCUACUCUUUUCUUACUGCUGUUCCAGAGUCCUGCUGCUGUUCUAGCUGUGGAGAAACGGUGGGGGUUGUGUCUGUGCUGAUGGCAGCCACGACUUGUUCUCCAGUUGCUUUCUGUGACAGUGGAUGUCCCUGUAAUGAACAAACCUCCUCCGGCUCUGGAUCGGUCAGCUUGAAAGGAGAAUCCAGCCAACGGGAGCAGGACCAUCCAGAGCGGAGAUGGAGGCAAUCAGCCCCAGGGAACACAGAUCCAGGUGGCUGCUUUUCAGAUGCCCAAGGGCUGGACCUGCAGUCUUUGGGCCACACAGGCCUGAUGCUUCUGCCUUGCUGUCCCAUCUCUCCAUGUCUUAGGGCCAUAUCACCGGUCCUCUGCACCUUCGCCGAUGGGAGGAAAGGACCUGAAAGCUCGCUUCGGUCAGAAGACAGGGGAUCCGUCAUCUGUCUUGAGCCCAGCCAUGUGGAACCCAAUGCCAUCUGGAGCCUCUGGUCUAGGAACCACCAUCCUUCCUCAGAUAACCCAGCUGCUGGAACUCUGCGUCCCCUAAGCUGGGAUGUCAUGGUGGCUGGAAAAAGUGGCUCAUGGGAGUCGGGCUGCUGGGGCCAAGUUGGUCACGAGAGCUUGCGGACAUGAGUUGUCACCUCCUGCCUUAGUCAUCCAUCAGUCUGGCUCGGGGGAUGGGACGAGGCUGGAAGAAAUACGGGGGACGGACUUCUAAGCCUCACUGAGGAAGAGGAAAUGAGCAGCCUUCUGCAUCACUCUUGACAGUCCCCAGCUGGCUCCUCCAGCACACAUCAAGGAAUGUUUUAUGCUCUUUUUGUUGGUUGCUGGGGCUGGAAAAGAGGUAGAACUACAGUCCCAAGACCCAGGGAAAUAGCUCCGUGGCCCUUUGUCCACUUUUAUAUCAGCCAGGCUGUUUUUCAGCUGGCCUGGCCUCUGUCAGGUACAGGUUCAGCAUCAGACUCUUUUAGGUCUAGGAUUUUAACUUUGAGCACUUAAGCUUCCUCCAUCAUAGCUCCAAGCCACCAAAUUCUGUGGCUCCGAUGUAGUGUUUGGGUUCACACAGACCUGGGGAGGCAAUGACCCUGGAAAAGUUGGGGACGGGAGCAGUCAGGGGCUCCCCUGGCGAAACAUUUGAGGAUUUUACAAAUUUGGCGUACAUGAUUUAAGUUGGCACGUGUGAUGCAGCUUCGUGUUUCACUAUGCACCCACCGCAAGACCACGUGGCGCUGCAUGGGUUUCCUGGUCCAGUCUGGUGAAAGACUCCUUUUCUGAGAGCAGUGGUAGAGUCUUGUCCAAAAGGUGGGGAGUGGGAAAUGUAAGCAUGUGGGACAAGAUGAAAACUGUUGAAAACAGAUGUUAACCGAACGAGCUGCCCGAACCAUAAAAAAUUUCCAGGUGUGUCAGAAUGAGAGAAUAGCAGACGAUGCGGGUGCAAUGGGCAUCAUGCUACCCAACCAGCGAAGCUGGGAAAGAAAUCAAAUACAGGUCAAGUCACCGAGAGACGCUGGUUCCGGACAACCAGAUGGGGAUUGUUUAGUCUCCGUCACGUGUCCACCUCAGCCACAGGGCCUUUGGGCAGAGCAGCCCUUACUGCCCCUUCUUGGCCAACACGAACCCCGGUGGGAUUUGAGUGACUCACAGUUGGAAAAGAUAGUACAGGGGUAAAACUGUAGGAUUUUGUUGGCUUACUGGUGAGCACAUUGUACAUUUGCAAUGGCUUAGAGACCUGCCAGUUCAAAAGGUUAAAGAAAUAUGAGCCUUUUCUUUGUUGCUAGGAAAUGGACAGGGGGAUGGAUGUGGGUAGCCGUGUCAGAGUAAGAAGGGGUCUCAUCAGAUCUUUUCCUUUUCACCAGUGGAAUGAAGUAGGCAUGUAUUUGUUUCAGUCUUGUUAACCUUUUCUUGAGGAAAACAAGGGCUGUGGAAACUGGUUUGAACCUUUAAUCCCAGUCCUCUGGGAAAGUCAACUCAACAGGCUAACAGCACCAUCAAAAGAGCUAGAAUCACUUAUACUGGAAUGUGGUAUGCUCAUUUUUCCCUCCCUCCUGCUUCACACAGGCACUUAGUCCCACUCUCUAAGCACUUAGAUACUCACCCCACCCUUACCCCACAGCACUUAUGUAUAUGCCCUUUCCCUGGUUGCUUCCCAUAACUGUGAUUUAUUUUAAUAUCUAUCUCCCCUGAUAGACUGUUAGCUCCUUCAAGGCAGAGCUCCUGUCUACCAGUUGUAUUGUAUCCUGAGUGCUCAGUUCAGGGAGCAGGCCACAGUAAGUGCUCAAUAAAUACAAUAGAUUGAUUCAUUAUGCUGUAGAAUCACAUUGAAAAGUACUCCCUGGGAUGCUUGGGUCACAGGUGUCUUUAUAUUUUUGCACAUUUCUAUCUUUCUAGAUUCAUCUCCUCAGGUCUAGCAGGCAAGCAGUCUUUAAGAGUGAUUCCAUAGAAAAAACACCAGCAUCUUUCUAUUCACGUAAAUGGGGCAGGAGUUAGGAGUAGGGAAAAAAGAAAAUAUCACUGAAAUAAAAGUGGUGUUUUUAAAGCGCCACUCUGUAGUGUGUGUGUGUUGGGUGGUUCUCUGCCAGGCUGAAGGUGGAGAAUUAAUGCAGUGCAGUAUAUAUGUCGGUCAAUCAUAUUUAUUGAACGCUUACUCUGUGCAGAGCACUGUACUAAGCGCUAUUUAUUUACCUCCCUAGUAAAUAAACAAUAUAAGUGAAAAUCCUUGGAGCUUUUCAUAUAUAAGGUCCUAGAGUAAGUGGUUCUCAGCCCAAUUUACCCUCAGGAACUGGAGGCUCUGGUCAUUUGGUGAGGGCGAAGUAGGGUUGAUCUUUUAAAAUCUCAUUUCUCCACUUAUCUCUUCCUAGCCUUGGUAUGUGUUGCCUUUUUGAGCAUCUCCUCUGUAUUUUCCACCUUCCCUAUGUACAGAAGAAUGGAGACUCUCUUCUCUUGUUCCUGCUUAAAAAAAUAAAUAAAUGAAUU